CUUAUGCCGGCGACCGGCGGACGGGUGCGUAACGCGUAUGUAACCUACCUUUGACAGGGGGAUAACAUCGAGAAAUUGGUACUAAUACCCCAUAACAUCACCGGAGGCAUCUUCGGUGGUUGAAAACUCAGGUGGUCAGAGAUGGACAUGCGUUGUAUUAGCUAGUUGGUGAGGUAACGGCCCACCAAGGCGACGAUACAUAGGGGGACUGAGAGGUCAACCCCCCACAUUGGUACUGAGACACGGACCAACUCCUACGGGAGGCAGCAG
rnacentral:rRNA from 1 species